AAUGUACUCCCUCUGUCCCAAAAUUCUUGUCUUAGAUUUGUCUAAAUACAGAUGUAUCAAGUCACGUUUUAGUAUUAGAUACAUCUGUAUCUAGACAAAUCUAAGACAAGAAUUUUGGGAUGGAGAGAGUAAUUG
rnacentral:pre_miRNA from 1 species